ACCAUAUAAGCAUGUGGUCUCAAGUCAAUACCUGGAGGUUCCCAGUACCAGUGCAAACUCCAUUACUGAUGGAAUCAUGGCAAGGUUUUGAAAAUCACUUAUUUUCUUAGCAUUUUCCCCUAAAUCAGGAACGAUGAUAACAUCCUCUCCACAAAACUACAAGGUAAUCUAUCAUGGACUGACUCUCUAAAAAUAUAAAUCCUGGAUUGCAGGCAAAAUGGCCGAAUAGGAGCAGCUCCAGUCUACAGCUCCCAGGGAGAUUAAUGCAAAAGAUGGAGUCUCGACACGUUGCCCAAGCUGUUCUCAAACUCCAGGGCUUGAACAAUCUUCCCACCUUGGCCUCCCAAGGCACUGGAAUUACAGAGACAGUGCUCUGCAGGGAGUCUACCACUGUGAUGGUUAAUACUGAGUGUCAACUUGAUUGGAUUGAAGGAUGCAAAGUAUUGUUCCUGGGUGUGUCUGUGAGGGUGUUGCCAAAGGAGAUUAACAUUUGAGUCAGUGGGCUGGGAAAGGUAGACCCAGCCGUAAUCUAGGUGGGCACCAUCUAAUCAGCUGCCAGCACAGCUAGAAGAUAAAGUAGGCAGAAAAACAUGAAAACAUUAGACUGGCCUAGCCUCUGAGCCUACAUCUUUCUCCCAUGCUGGAUGCUCCCUGCCCUUGAACAUCAGACUCCAAGUUUUUCAGUUUUGGGACUGGGACUCACUAUCCUUGCUCCUCAGCUUGCAGACAGCCUAUUGUGGGACCUUAUGAUCAUGUGAGUUAAUACUUAAUACAUAAAUAUAUAUAUAUACACACACACAUAUACACACACACACACACAUAUAUAUAUACACACACACACACAUAUAUAUAUAUAUCUGUCCCUCUAGAGAACCCUGACUAAUACAACUACUAAUAAAAAUUGGGGCAAAAGACAUUGAUUGGGUAUUGUAAGUAGGUUAUGCUCACAGUAGCAAUAUCUCUUAAGACUUUUUAAAAGACUUCCUAAUAAAAGAGAUUUAAAAUACAGCAAAUAACAAGUUUGUGCAUUUUCAAUUUCAUUAUCAGCACCACCUUCAUUAUCCAAAGUUAUUACUAAAGCUUAUGACACAUACAGCAUGAGCAGCAGACAGAAAAUUUUGAAGUCAGUGCCUCUGUGGUUCACAGGUGCAGAGGCAGACAUCACAGCUGUCAAGCAGUUAUUUACAAGAGAGACACUUCUCCAGUAGUAAUUGACAACCUUCUUUAAGGGAAAAGAGGCUGCAAAACUGUGGAAUAUUAGAACAUGAAGCCAAAGAGGAAAACUGACUUGCCUAAGGCCACUCAACAAAUUAUUCAGCCAGAAUGGGAACUCAUACUUGACUUCAACUUCUUAUUCCUCGUGUUCUUACUCCUACAAGUUUUCCACUACUCAGGGGCUCUUUAGGGUAAAUUAACCAUGAAAACACACACAUGCACACACACAUACAAACUAAAUUCCAUUCAUAUUAAGAUAUGCUUCCUUUUUUCUCUCCCCUAUCCAUGGUAGUAAUAACAAGAAGUAAAAGCUUUUUCAUUAUAAAGUAAACUUCCAUUUUUCUUUCUUGAUACGUUUUCAGGUUUUCCUCUAAAAGUAAUUAAAAGUACUACUCAAGUUGUUCCUAGUUGUCUAGAAUGGCUUAUGCUGCCAUUAGCUUCUACAGCUCUGUCAUUAGAGAAAUGGACUGUACUUCUUCUUCACCUUUCACAUGCGGCCAAAAUUGGGUUACUUUAAAAGGCCAGAUGUCAAAAGCAGAUAAAUCCUUUGUACUGUAAUGAGCAUAAUGAUGAAUAAUGGCACUUAUGUUCAAUAAACGAUGCCCUGCCCAUAAACAGCCUUUCCUCUCAGAUAUUCUAUUUAAUUCAAUGAUAUAUUCCAGGUAAUUUGUGGAACUGAAUGAGAAAUUACCUUAAACAAGAAGACUUUGGAAUUUACUAAAAUAUACUUGUUGAAAAUAAUUAAUGGAAGCAGAGUUUGCAUUAGUAAAAUUAUGGCAUUAAAAUCCGUCAUUGCAUGAAUUCAUCUUCCAAGUGGCCUGCCUUGGAGCAGGUGUACAGAUGAGGGCAUUGUGGCAUGAACAAUGUUGGUAGUAAAAGGCAUGCUAUUGAUAUCAAUGUGCCAUGGUAUGUGGUGCUCUUUGUGUGUUUUAAGAACAGAGACAAUCCAUAUAGUGUUGAUCAUCUCCCACUUAAACUACUGUAAAACCCAACUGAUCUUGCUACCUAUAUUCCAUGGAACUAUCCUAGUAAUCUUUGGAAAACAUAAAUCACAUCACGCCACUAACCCCCACUCAAACUACUAAUGGUUUCCCACCAUAGUUGAAGUAAAAAUCCAAAAUGCUUUCCAUGCUCUAUAAGACUGUAAAAAGACCUAUCUCUAGCCUGCCUCUCUGACAUUAUCGUCUACUAUUCUUUCCCCCUUGCUACUCCACACUAGUUACACUUGCAGUAUUGAUAGUUCUUAAAUAUUCAAAGAUAUUCCUUCCCCCAGGGACCUUGCGGUUUUUUUCUCCACUAUAUCUCAUUUUUGCAUGAAUCACUUCCUCAUCACAUUCAAGAAUCUGCUUAUAUAUCAUCUACAACUUCUAUUCCCAGCAACACAGCAAACUACAUACCUUGAAAAAAAAACUUUCCCAGUGGAGAACAGCUAAAAUUGCUUUAAAAAUGCAUUUUUAGAUACUUUAAUUGUUUAAUUGAGAAGUUUUUUAAAAAAUCGUAGAAACCAAAAAGUUAAAGCAAAAACAUUAAUCUCAAAAGGUAAGAGAAUACUGAAAACGAUGCCUGUCCUGGGACAAUGGCUGAUCGCUGAUAGUCCAGAGCUGCACUGUUCGAUACAGUAGCCACUUGCCACCUGCGACUAUUUAAAUUUUUUAAAAAAUUAUAAAUUUAAUUUCUCAAUUACAUAAGCCACACUUCAAGUGUUCAAUAAUCACAGUGGCUGAUGGAUACCAUGUUGGACAACACAAAUACAGAACGUUUCCAUCAUAUAGAAAGUUGAAUUGGAUGCUCUGAUCUCAAUUUUUAAACAAAACCUAGAGCCCAUUGAAAGAGAAAGUUAGAUUGGAGACCUCCUCCUAUUUCAGGUACACAGAUCCCCCUAAAGAAAAAAACACUACACCUACAAGGAACAUCCGAGCUAGAAAGAAAAUCUUUCCUCCCAAAGUAAAACAGGAAAAACAAUGCAUGUCUAAGACUUGACCCCAAAUUGAAGAAAAAAAUGUUCUUCUAGAAUACAUAACAAUCUGUUCUUCACAUAUGUUUGGAGCCAGAAUUUUCUCUACCUCUAUGAUCCAAUUAAUUUGAAGCUGAGAAAUUUCUUUAAACUAAUGCUGGAAUGGGAGUGUCACCAUGUUCCCAACAGAAGUAAAUGUAAACCAUCUAUUAAGGAACCUACCCUAAAUCCCAGGCUUCAACAAAAUCCCUGCAAAAUGUAUAAAAAUAUAUAUGCUCACAAAAAUAAAAUACGAAAGUAAAUAAGAUACUAAGAGUGAGCAGAAACCACUGAAAGAAGAGUAAAACUCUCAAAUACUGUAGAUAUUAGAAUUAUUGUAUAUAGAAUAUAAUGGUUAUGUAAUAAAUACCCUUAAAAUAAGAGUGUCAAUACUACAUUUAAUAAAUGAUUUACUACAUACAGCCAUUAUGGAAAACAAUACAGAGCUUCCUCAAAAAACUAAAAACAGAACUGCCAUAUGACCCAGCAAUCCCACUGCUGGGCAUAUAUCCAAAAGAAAGGAAAUCAGUAUGUCAGUGAGAUAUCUGUACUACCAUGGUUAUUGUAGCACUAUUCGCAAUAGCCAAAAUAUGGAAUCAACCUGAGUGUCCACCAAUAGAUGAGUAGAUUUUUUUAAUGUGGUAUAUAUAACAAUGAAGUAGUAUUCAGCCAUAAAAAAGAAUGAAAUUCUGUCAUUUGCAGCAACAUGGAUGGAAUGGGAGGUCAUUAUGUUAGUGAAAUGAGCCAGUCACAGAAAGACAAACAUCACAUGUUCUCACUUACAUGUGGAAGCUAAAAAACUGAAUCUCAUGGAGGUAGAGAACAGAAUGAUGAUUACAAGAGGCUGGGAAAGGAAGUGGGGAAGGGGAAUGAAGAUGAGUUGGUUAAAGGGUACAACAAUAUUGUUAGAAGGAAUAAGUUCUAUUAUUUGAUGGUAUAGUAUGGAAAUUAUAGUUAACAAUAAUUUAUUAUAUAUUUCAAAAUAGCUAAAAAAGAAGAAUUAUAAUGUUCCCAACACAAAAAAAAAUGUUCGAGGUGAUGGAUAUCCCAAUUACUCUGAUUUGACUACAUAUUGUACGCAUCUGUCAAAUUAUCACAUGUAUCCCAAAAAACAUGUACAAUUAUGAUAUAUCAAUAAAAAUACAAAUAAGACACUACAAAAAUGAUUAGGUUUUUUUAAAAAGUCUAGAAAUUUAAAAUAUAGUAAAUAAUAUUUUUGAACAGAUUUGAAAUGAUUGAACAGAAAGUUAAUAAUUGGAAAAUAACUCUGAAGAAAUUACACAGAUUAUAGCCUAAGAUAACAAAGUGAUUGAUAGGGGGCUAUAGUAAUAAAUAUAAUUGAAGUUUGGAAAUAAGGUAAUAGAAAUAGACAAUAUUUGAAGGGUAAAUGGCUAAGGAUUUUCCCAAAUUAUGAAAGUCAUAAAUUCCCAGGUUCCAGAAGCCAAACAAAUGCUAGAAGGGUAAAUAAAAAGAAACACACAUGUAGAGAUAUUGUAAUGAACCUGCAGAAUACCAAAGAUAAAACUAUUUUUAAAGUAGACAGUAAAAAGGCAAACCAGCAACAAAGUAAUAUCAAUUAGACUGAUGCCUGACUUCUCAAAAGCAGCAGUGAGGCUAGAAGUAAAUAGAAUAACAACUUCAAGAUUAGACAGUUAUGACCUAGAAUUAUAUACCAAGUGAAAAUGUUGUUUCAAGAAUUAAGGCUGUGUCAAUCAAACUUUAUCUUAGAUCAGGGUCUCUAGAAAUACAGCUUGAAACAGGAAUCUCUAUACAGGUGAUUAACUGACAGACUUCUCUCCUGAGUAAAUUAUAAUGAUGUAAGGGGAACAGGAUAAGGCAGGGGAAGAAACUCAAGAUGUGGUUUCAGCUAUAGUCUAGCCCCAGCCUGACCUCAAGGGAGUUCUGGAGUAUGAUUAUCACCACGUGGUUGUCCCACCUUGAGGCAAAAGGCUUAGGUGUCUUUCAAAGACCCAGGUGUUGUUUAUUAAUUCCUCACAUCAAGUAUCUUCUCCAUCAAGACUUUAACUGGUGUUUUAGAGCCAUGUUAAGACAAAUAACUUAGGCAUUACUUAUAAGCUUUACUAUUUUCAUUGUUCAUUUAAAUUUUUUAUAUAUCAUGGCCUUAAUAUGUAGUCUUUUAAAGUUAUGUUAUAUUUACACUCAAGGCACAUGAUAUUAAUAUAUUCACCACUGAGAUUGUCUGUGCUAAUAUUUUGCUACAUUCCCUUUAGAUUGUCAUUAUUUUCAAAGAAACAACACAUUACAAAUACAGUUACAGUCCCACCUUCCAUCUCUUCCUCAUUCCUGUCUACUCAGAAGUAACCCUUUUUCUGAAAUAAGUAUUAUCAUACUCAUAUAUGUUUAUUUCUUUCCUUUGGAUAAACUUCCUAAAUGUUUGAUACUCUAUAUUCAACUUUUUUUUUUUUUAGCCACAACAUUAUAUCUCUGAGACUUGCUAUGUUGAUACAUUCAAAUCCAAUUCAUUCAUUUUCAUUUUAGGCAUUCUGCUGGACCAACAAACAACAGUGUAUUUUUUCAUCCCCCUGCUGUUUGACAAUAAGAUUUUCUUAGCCUUGUAACAAUUAACAACUCAAAAAUAUACAUCUUUGUAUAUGUCUCCUUGAACAAGAGUUUCUCCCUGAGAAGCUCCCAGAAGAAGAACUGUUGGGCUAUGGAGAAUAUGCAUUGUCAACCUUACUUGGUAGUUCCAACAUAGCUUUCCAAAGUGUUUAUACUUAUUUUCCGUCCCUGCAACCACGCCUUGGAGUUCUUGUUUUGUUUGCAUUAUCACCAACAGUGAAUAUUAUCAAACUUAAUAAAUUUGUAAAUAUAAAAUGUUUUGUCCUUGUUUUAAUUUACAUUUCCUAAGUACUAAAGAAGUUGGACAUCUUUACAUAUAUUUAUUGGCCAUUGUAUUAGUUCAUUUUCACACUGCUAAUAAAGACACACCUGAGCCUGAGUAAUUUAUAAAGAAAAAGAAAUUUAAUGGACUCAUAGUUCCACAUGGCUGGGGAGGUCUCACAAUCAUGGCAGAAGGUGAAUGAGGAGAAAGACAUGUCUUACAUGGCAGCAGACAAGAGAGAGCAUGUGAGGGGAACUGCUGUUUAUAAAAUCAUCAGAUUUCAUGAGACUUAUUCACUAUCAAGGGAACAGCAUGGGAAAAACCCGCCCCAUGAUUCAAUUACCUCCCACAGGCUCCCUCCCAUGACACAUGGGGAUUAUUAGAAUUCAAGGUGAGAUUUGGGUGGGGACACAAAGCCAAACCAUAUCAGCCAUCUAUCUUCCUCUGUCAGUUUACCAUUAUAUAUUUUAACAAUAUUUAUAUCUGAUAUUAUUGAUUUCUAAGAGCAUUUUAUAUAUUCUGCGUAUUAAUAUUUCAUUGGUAAUAUGAGUUGCAAGUGUCUUUUCUCAGUCUAUGACUUUUAUUUUCAUCUCUGUCCCCUUUUAUACAGAAGUUUUAUGUUUCAGUGUAUCAGAAUGUAUUAAUUUUUCCUUUCGUGCUUUCUCUAAGAAUUAUAUCUUAGGAGUAAGUUCAAGAGAGCUAUUGUACAAUAUGGUUGUAUAGUUAAUAACAUUUUGAAAAUCACUGACUAGAUUGUUUUUACCACAAAAAAUGAUAAGUACAUGAUGUAAUGUAUGUGUUAAUUAGCUCAAAUGAGCCAUUCCACAAUGUAUACGUAUUUCAAAACAAUGUUGUACACAAUAAGUAUAUAAAUAUAUGCAAUUUCUAUUGGUCAAUUAAAAAUAUAUUUUACUAAAGGCAUAAAAAUAUUCUCCCAUUUUUUGGUUGAAAGUUUUAGAGCUUUGCUGAUCACAUUUAGGUCUUUAAGCUAUCUGGAAUGUAUUUUUGUGAAUGAUGUGAUAUAGCAAUCUCAUUUUAUCUUGUACUAUAUAAUGGCCAAGUUCCUCAGCAUCAUUUAUUGAUGAUUUUAUCCCCUUUCUCAUAUAAAAAACUCCCAAG
rnacentral:lncRNA from 10 species